rnacentral:rRNA from 1 species
UACGAAGGGGGCUAGCGUUGUUCGGAAUUACUGGGCGUAAAGGGCGCGUAGGCGGUGUGUCAAGUCAGGCGUGAAAGCCCCGGGCUCAACCUGGGAACAGCGCUUGAGACUGGCACGCUCGAGUUCGGGGAGAGGAUGGGUGGAAUUCCCAGUGUAGAGGUGAAAAUUCGUAGAGAUCGGGGAGGAACAUCAGUUGCGAAGGCGGCUCUCCUGGACCAGCACUGACACUGAGGCACGAAAGCGUGGGGAGCAAACAGGG